rnacentral:rRNA from 1 species
CCUACGGGAGACAGCAGUGAGGAAUAUUGGUCAAUGGACGGGAGACUGAACCAGCCAAGCCGCGUGAGGGAUGAAGGUACAGAGUAUCGUAAACCUCUUUUGUCGGGGAACAAAGGCGGGGACGCGUUCCCGGAUGAGUGUACCUGAAGAAAAAGCAUCGGCAAACACCGUGCCAGCAGCCGCGGUAAUACGGAGGAGGCGAGCGUUAUCCGGAUUUAUUGGGUUAAAGGGGUGCGCAGGGGGUCUGUUAAGUCAGCGGGCAAAGCCCGGGGCUCAACCCCGGCCCGCCAGUGAAACUGGCAGUCGCGAGUGGGAGAGAAGUAAGCGGAAUGCGCGGUGUAGCGGUGGAAUGCAUAGAUAUCGGGAAGAACUCC